CCACCAAGUCAACUUGAAGUGAGAAAACUUAACAACUUCAAAGGUUUACUUGGAAUCUUUUCUUUUAAAUACAACCAGUUCAAAAGCUAGGACUCGUGCUUUCUUU